UCUUUCUUAGGGUGAGGUGUGAUCUUUUAGGCAGGCAGGGAAGCAGAAGGUGAACUAUAUUGUGUGACAGACGGGCUUGAGACACUGCCCAUGAAGCAUGGUACAUUACUGUGUGAGUUUUAUGCACGGAUGUCUUCAGGCUUCCUCACACGGUGAAUGGUAAGGCUGCGGAAUGUAUCCCAUCAACAACAAUUUAAAACAAUGACUCUCAGUACUGAAUCUCAAACUUUGUUCCGCUUUCCACAGUGUGUUUCGAGCAUUUCCUGUUAAUUGAUGCACACUGACCCGAAUUGUCCCCUGGUUUUCUAUAAAAACAGCAUUCCGGAAUCUGUCAGAGGAGCAUCCAAUCUGGGCCUUGGCGAGGUUUUACUCUUAGCAACCUUCUCUCAUACAGUUGGUAUAAAUCAGCAACUUUUCUCAAUGUGAAAACUUCGAAAAACGUGCCACAAAACAACAAAUUUUAUGACAUAUGCCAGUGAAAAGGCGUGGUUGAGAGCGUGCUGACCUUUACAUCACAACCUGGUACUCCAGCUGCAGUGCUGCCGACAAAAAAGCCUUGCAGAGGGUGGUUAGGGGAGCAGAGAAGGUUAUUGGGGUCUCCCUAUCUUCUGUCCAAGACCUCUUUCAGAGUCGAUGCCUCCAGAAGACACGGUACAUCAUUAAAGACCCCUCACACUCUCUCCAUGAACUGUUCGUUCUUCUGCCAUCAGGUAAACGUUACAGGAGCAUCAAAACUAAAACCACAAGACUACUAAACAGCUUCCUCCCACAGGCAGUCAGACUGCUGAAUAACUGCUCUACCUGACUCUGCUUUGGACACGUUUAACUUACACUUACACUGAACACUUACAACUUGAUUUUAACCGAAAUGGGACUGUUGUGUUUUACUAUUUAUUGUUGUGUUUACUAUUUGUUGCGUUUGUUAUGUUAUGAUUGCACUUGCCCCUGGGAAAUGCUGUCUCAUUCUGCCCUGCAGAGCUGAUGUAUGGUUGGAAUGACAAUAAAGUUUUUGAAUCUUGAUUCUGAUUCUGAUUCCUUAUCUUCAUUGUUCAGAGAGGUUGGUACUAGAUCAGACAAACUAUGGCAUAUUUUACAGUGGUGGUGGUGGCAUCCGUCGGUCUCGAGAGACCAUGGAUCUGCGCCUGGAGUUUCCAGGGCGCAGGCCUGGGCAGGGUUGUAUGGGAGACCGGCAGUUGCCCAAGCUG